GGGGUUGUAGCUCAGUGGUAGAGCGCAUGCUUUGCAUGUAUGAGGUCUAGGGUUCGAUCCCCUACAUCUCCA